UCGUGUACUUUGAGAGAAAGCGUGUGCCAAAGUGUUAGCGUGUGUAUUCCACGUGUAUGCAGUGCUGGGAUUUGUUACUUGUGACAGUUCUGGAUAGAAAAAUAUAUUUUUUAUUUAGUAUUAUUAGCAAGAAAUGGUUAAAAUAUCAACCUUAUGAUGAAUUGUUAUAAGUGAUGGACACACUGUCCUAUUGGAUUAUGAGUACUAAUGCAGUAUUUGGCAUAAUAAUUGGAUGCAUGGUUUCAAAGGGACCACAGAACAAAUCAGAGGCCCAUCCCUGCGCACCAAUGGCCUGUCUCUCAUUUCAGAUGGAGAUUGAAGGGCACGUCUGCUCCGGGGGCGCCCACCGCCCUGAGGGCCUCUGCGUCUCCCCUGCGUGAGAGCUGGACCGCUACACACACCAAAAAACCCGUCGACCCCCGCAAUCGGCUGUCUGUCUGGACCCGCUGUCGAAUACUCCCCGCUGGACACACACAGACACAGACGCACAGUCGGACGGGGCGAGCACUGCUUGGUAAACAAUCGCAGCCACACAUGCUCACGCUAGGAAGGAACAUGAAAACAGCACUAAUGGGAAAAAGAUGAGAGGGCUCACAGCGAGCACACCCAGAGAGGAGGAGGAGAGCGAGCCGGCAGUCGGACACCGCUCGCUGCCUCAGCCCUGCAUGCCGGCACACAAAAACAGCCCUCAGAUAGAAAGAUAGUUCCUGAGGUCACACUGUUUAAAAAAAAAAAAAAAAAGGAAAAAGAUUGGUGGGUUAAAAAGCACUCAGCUGAUUUACAGCCUCUGUGAACUCGUGUGAUUAUUUUAUCCGAACGUUAUAUUAUUAUAAUUUUGCUGUACUACUUUAUUUCUUUCCAGCUAUUAGAGCUAAAUUACCUUAAAUUAUUUUUGCUUUUUUGUCAAAUAUAUUUAGAAUGUUUUAUUUACCCACAAAUUCUUCC